AAUAGAUACCCGGGUAGUCCACGCCGUAAACGAUGAGUGCUAAGUGUUAGAGGGUUUCCGCCCUUUAGUGCUGCAGCUAACGCAUUAAGCACUCCGCCUGGGGAGUACGGCCGCAAGGCUGAAACUCAAAGGAAUUGACGGGGGCCCGCACAAGCGGUGGAGCAUGUGGUUUAAUUCGAAGCAACGCGAAGAACCUUACCAGGUCUUGACAUCCUCUGCCAACCCUAGAGAUAGGGCGUUCCCCUUCGGGGGACAGAGUGACAGGUGGUGCAUGGUUGUCGUCAGCUCGUGUCGUGAGAUGUUGGGUUAAGUCCCGCAACGAGCGCAACCCUUGAUCUUAGUUGCCAGCAUUCAGUUGGGCACUCUAAGGUGACUGCCGGUGACAAACCGGAGGAAGGUGGGGAUGACGUCAAAUCAUCAUGCCCCUUAUGACCUGGGCUACACACGUGCUACAAUGGAUGGUACAAAGAGCUGCGAACCCGCGAGGGUAAGCCAAUCUUAUAAAGCCAUUCUCAGUUCGGA
rnacentral:rRNA from 1 species